UAGUCCACGCCGUAAACGAUGAUUACUCGUUGUGCGCGAUACACAGUGCGCGACUGAGCGAAAGCAUUAAGUAAUCCACCUGGGGAGUACGUUGGCAACAAUGAAACUCAAAGGAAUUGACGGGGGCCCGCACAAGCGGAGGAACAUGUGGUUUAAUUCGAUGAUACGCGAGGAACCUUACCUGGGCUUAAAUGUAGGAUGCAUAAGGUGGAAACACUUUUUUCCUUCGGGACUUCUUACAAGGUGCUACAUGGUUGUCGUCAGCUCGUGCCGUGAGGUGUCGGGUUAAGUCCCAUAACGAGCGCAACCCUUAUCGUUAGUUGCCAUCAGGUCAUGCUGGGGACUCUAGCGAGACUGCCACCGUAAGGUGAGAGGAAGGUGGGGAUGACGUCAAAUCAGCACGGCCCUUAUGUCCAGGGCUACACACGUGUUACAAUGGUCGGUACAAAGGGCAGCUACCUGGUGACAGGAUGCUAAUCCCUAAAGCCGAUCCCAGUUCGGA
rnacentral:rRNA from 1 species